UACAGAGGUCUCGAGCGUUGUUCGGAUUCAUUGGGCGUAAAGGGUGCGUAGGCGGCGCGGUAAGUCGGGUGUGAAAUCUCGGAGCUUAACUCCGAAACUGCAUUCGAUACUGCCGUGCUUGAGGACUGGAGAGGAGACUGGAAUUUACGGUGUAGCGGUGAAGUGCGUAGAUAUCGUAAGGAAGACCAGUGGCGAAGGCGGGUCUCUGGACAGUUCCUGACGCUGAGGCACGAAGGUCAGGGGAGCAAACGGG
rnacentral:rRNA from 1 species